AUUGAACGCUGGCGGCAGGCCUAACACAUGCAAGUCGAGCGAGCGGCGGACGGGUGAGGAAUGUAUGGGGACUGCCCGAUAGAGGGGGAUAACUACUGGAAGCGGUAGCUAAUACCGCAUACUAUCGGAUAACCCAUAUGGGAUUAGCUAGUAGGUGAGGUAAUUGCCCACCUAGGCGACGAUCCCUAGCUGGUCGGAGAGGACGAUCAGCCACACUGGGACUGAGACACGGCCCAGACGCCUAGGGGGGCAGCUGUGGGGAAAAUUGCACAAGGGGCGCAAGCCUGGUGCAGCCAGGCCGGGUGUAUGAAGAAGGCUCUAGGUUGGUAAAGUACUUUCAGUCGGGAGGCGUUACCGACAGAAGAAGCACCGGCUAACUCCGUGCCAGCAGCCGCGGUAAUAC
rnacentral:rRNA from 1 species